UACGUAGGGGGCGAGCGUUGUCCGGAUUUAUUGGGCGUAAAGAGCGUGUAGGCGGCCAGGUAGGUCUGCUGUGAAAACUCGAGGCUCAACCUCGAGACGUCGGCGGAAACCAUCUGGCUAGAGUCCGGAAGAGGAGAGUGGAAUUCCUGGUGUAGCGGUGAAAUGCGCAGAUAUCAGGAAGAACACCCGUGGCGAAGGCGGCUCUCUAGUACGGUACUGACGCUGAGACGCGAAAGCGUGGGGAGCGAACAGG
rnacentral:rRNA from 1 species